GGGCUUACACAUGCAAGUCGAGGGGCAUCACGAGGUAGCAAUACCUUGGUGGCGACCGGCGCACGGGUGAGUAACACGUAUGCAACCUUCCCUGUACAGGGGGAUAACCCGGAGAAAUUCGGACUAAUACCCCAUGAUGAUAUUUAUGGGCAUCCAUUAAUAUUUAAAGCCCUGGCGGUACAGGAUGGGCAUGCGCGACAUUAGCUAGUUGGUAAGGUAACGGCUUACCAAGGCGACGAUGUUUAGGGGACCUGAGAGGGUUGUCCCCCACACUGGUACUGAGACACGGACCAGACUCCUACGGGAGGCAGCAGUGAGGAAUAUUGGUCAAUGGGCGCAAGCCUGAACCAGCCAUCCCGCGUGAAGGAAGAAUGCGCUACGCGUUGUAAACUUCUUUUCCAGGGGGAGAAUAAUCCUGUCGUGACAGGACUUGACGGUACUCUGGGAAUAAGCAUCGGCUAACUCCGUGCCAGCAGCCGCGGUAAUACGGAGGAUGCGAGCGUUAUCCGGAUUUAUUGGGUUUAAAGGGUGCGUAGGCGGAUUGAUAAGUCAGUGGUGAAAUUCUACAGCUUAACUGUAGACUUGCCGUUGAUACUGUUAGUCUUGAGUGUGGUCAAGGCAGGCGGAAUGUGUAAUGUAGCGGUGAAAUGCUUAGAUAUUACACAGAACACCGAUUGCGAAGGCAGCUUGCUGGGUCAUUACUGACGCUGAUGCACGAAAGCGUGGGGAUCAAACAGGAUUAGAUACCCUGGUAGUCCACGCCGUAAACUAUGAUCACUCGCUGUUGGCGAUACACAGUCAGCGGCUAAGCAAAAGCAUUAAGUGAUCCACCUGGGGGAGUACGGCCGCAAGGCUGAAACUCAAGGGAAUUGACGGGGGCCCGCACAAGCGGAGGAACAUGUGGUUUAAUUCGAUGAUAC
rnacentral:rRNA from 1 species